GAUGAACGCUGGCGGCGUGCUUAACACAUGCAAGUCGAACGAAGCACUUUAUUUGAUUUCCUUCGGGACUGAUUAUUUUGUGACUGAGUGGCGGACGGGUGAGUAACGCGUGGGUAACCUGCCUUGUACAGGGGGAUAACAGUUGGAAACGGCUGCUAAUACCGCAUAAGCGCACGGCAUCGCAUGAUGCAGUGUGAAAAACUCCGGUGGUAUAAGAUGGACCCGCGUUGGAUUAGCUAGUUGGUGAGGUAACGGCCCACCAAGGCGACGAUCCAUAGCCGACCUGAGAGGGUGACCGGCCACAUUGGGACUGCGACACGGCCCAAACUCCUACGGGAGGCAGCAGUGGGGAAUAUUGCACAAUGGGCGAAAGCCUGAUGCAGCGACGCCGCGUGAGCGAAGAAGUAUUUCGGUAUGUAAAGCUCUAUCAGCAGGGAAGAUAAUGACGGUACCUGACUAAGAAGCACCGGCUAAAUACGUG
rnacentral:rRNA from 1 species